GACGAACGCUGGCGGCGUGCUUAACACAUGCAAGUCGAACGGAAAGGCCCUGCUCUUGCUGGGUGCUCGUGUGGCGCACGGGUGUGUUACACGUGAGUAUCCUCCCCUUGACUUUGUGAUAACUUCAGGGCACUGGGGAUAAUACCGGAUAGGAGCUCCUGCUGCAUGGUGGGCGUUGGAACGUUGCGGCGGUUGGGGAUGGACUCGCGGCUUACCAGCUUGUUGGUGGGGUAGUGGCUUACCAAGCCUUCGACGGCUAGCCGGCCUGGGAGGUUGACCAGCGACAAUGGGACUGAGAGAGGGCGCAGACGCCAACGGUAGGCAGUGGGGGGGAAUAUGGCACAAUGGGCGGAAGCCUGAUACAGCGACGCCGGGUGCGUGAAGACGUCCUUCGGGGGAUAAACCGCUUUCGCCUGAUACGAAGCGGGAGUGACGGUAAUGGGUAAAGAAGCACCGGCUAACUACGUG
rnacentral:rRNA from 1 species